ACUCAAAUGAAUUGACGGGGGCCCGCACAAGCGGUGGAGCAUGUGGUUUAAUUCGACGCAACGCGAACAACCUUACCUGGGCUUGAACUGUAGGUAGUAGGAGCUAUGAAAAUAGCGACGAACCGUAAAGCCGGUUGCCUAUAGAGGUGCUGCAUGGCUGUCGUCAGCUCGUGUCGUGAGAUGUUGGGUUAAGUCCCGCAACGAGCGCAACCCUUACCCUAUGUUGCCACGUCCGUAAAGGACAGCACUCUUAGGGAACCGCCUCGGACAACGGGGAGGAAGGUGGGGAUGACGUCAAGUCACCAUGGCCUUUAUGUCCAGGGCUACACACGUGCUACAAUGGCCGGUACAGCGAGCAGCAAAUCCGCAAGGAGGAGCAAAUCUCUAAAAGCCGGCCCCAGUUCAGAUUGUGGGCUGCAAUUCGCCCACAUGAAGGUGGAAUCGCUAGUAAUCGGGGAUCAGCUGGCCCCGGUGAAUACGUUCCCGGGCCUUGUACACACCGCCCGU
rnacentral:rRNA from 1 species